UCCUGGCGCGCACGUUCAGGCGCUUCUCUUGCCUUGCCGUAACGGCUUUUAACUAUUUCCUCCUCUCCUCCCGAUCCAGCUAGCCUGGCCUCCCACCUCCCCUCCCCUCUCUUGAACUGAAUCCCCCACUCCGUCCUCCAGUUCGAUCGCGUUCGCGGCCCCCCACUCCGUGUUCCGGAAUAAGUAGCCGGCGGUUUCCUCACCCCAGGUUUUGCAGUUGCUGGGGAGUGGGAAAUUCGUCCGGCUCCGGUUUGGCCAAUGCUCCUGCGGUUUCUUGGAGAGGCCGCUGAAGCAGCAGCCCUUGCCUGAGGGAUUCUCCUUUUCUCGGGCGGAGAGUUCGGUUGCGGCGGAAAAAAAAAAGAAUUCUUUCGUCGGAUUGGCCCAAGUUCUUGGUUGAUCCGUUACAAAGCCCCCACUGUACGCUGUGUUAGCCUUUUUCCACGCGUUUCUUUCCUUACUCUAGAUCCGUGUCCCCGCCCGAUUAUUUGGGGGAAUAGGCAGCCCAUCGAUCGGGGGAAGAGGGAUUUGGAGGCCUGACCUCCGAUGGAGGUGCACGCCGACGUCGAUGGGUCCGGUGUGCCCCUGGCCGUGCUCCUCAAGCGGGAGCUGUGCAACCAGAAGGUGGAGAGGCCGGACAUUCUGUUCGGGGAGGCCAACAAGAGCAAGAAAGGGGAGGACUUCACGCUCCUCUUGCCCAGGUGCCACCGCACCACAGGCGAAGGCGGCGGCAGUGGCGGCGGCGAGAAUGCAGGCGGCGGCGACGACGACGACACCAUUUCCGUGUUUGCGAUUUUUGAUGGACACAAUGGCUCUUUAGCUGCCAUAUACACACGGGAGAAUCUAAUAAACAAUGUGCUGGCUGCUAUUCCUCCAAAUCUCACAAGUGAGGAGUGGACAGCUGCGUUGCCAAGGGCACUAGUUGCUGGUUUUGUAAAAACGGAUAAAGACUUCCAAACAAAAGCUGCACGUUCAGGGACCACUGUGACUUUUGUUAUAAUAGAUGGAUGGGUUGUCACUGUAGCAUCAGUUGGCGAUUCACGAUGUAUUCUAGAAUCUGCUGAAGGUUCAGUAUAUUUUUUAUCAGCAGAUCAUCGCCUGGAUGCUAAUGAAGAGGAGGUGGAGCGUGUUACAGCAAGUGGUGGUGAAGUUGGGAGAAUAAAUAUUGCUGGGGGUGCUGGGAUUGGUCCGCUCAGAUGCUGGCCAGGCGGAUUGUGUCUAUCAAGGUCAAUAGGUGACAUUGACGUCGGGGAAUUUAUAGUUCCUGUCCCACAUGUGAAGCAAGUAAAGUUGUCCAAUGCUGGUGGGCGGCUUGUCAUUGCCAGUGAUGGUGUGUGGGAUGCGCUGUGUUUUCAAGAGGCUCUGAACUACAUCAGGGGUCUACCAGCCGAAGCUGCUGCUAAUCGAAUUGUUAAGGAAGCUGUCACUUCAAAGGGAUUAAGAGAUGAUACUACUUGCAUAGUAGUUGACAUACUACCUCCAGAAAAGUUAAGCCCCCCACUAAAGCGACCUGGAAAAGGAGUCAUCAAAACUCUGUUCCGUCGGAGGCCCUCGGAUGAAAUGUCUGAAGAUCAGAUGGACAGAGGAUGUUUAGAACCUGAUGUCGUGGAGGAAAUAUACGAGGAGGGCUCUGCAAUGCUUGCUCGAAGGUUGAAUAUAAAUUACCCAUCGGGAAAUAUGUUCAAGCUGCAUGAUUGUGCUGUCUGCCAAUUGGAGAUGAAACCUGGUGAGGGCACCUCUGUUCACGGUAACAUGCCCAAGCAUUCAAGAGUUGACCCCUGGGGUGGUCCUUUUCUCUGUUCCUCCUGUCAAUUGAAAAAGGAGGCCAUGGAAGGGAAGCUACAUUCAAGAAAUUCCCAAUUUGAUGUUCGACCUAUGCCUAAGUAGGCAUUCCCUGGCGGUUUCUAUACAUUGGUUCAUACACACAAACUACCACUAACAACAUCAUUAUCAAAUAAAGUAGACUCGACAAUAUCAUCUUAUUCAUCAAUCAAUGUCUGACAGAAUCAGGAAUUUUCACCUACUACAUUCUUAUCAAAUGGUGCAGAGUGACACUGCGCGCCCUCUUGCAUAUCGAAUUUAAGCUAUGGCAGCCAUUGUUUUCUGCUGCAAGGAUGAGUUCAUUACUUUUUUGGCCAAGGCAGCAAGAUUCUCAAUACGGGAGUCAUUUGUAUAGACGUUCCUAAUUUCCUACUCAUCUUUCCCAUGAAAGAGCCCAUACAGAUACAGUCUUCCACCACGAUUUGAAGCCAGUUGCAGUACAUGUGGGUUGCUUUUUACUAAGAUGCAUGAAGUUUAGAAUAAUGUACGUAGAUGCUAAUGCAUAGACAUGGCAUGGUAUUCUUAGCAUCAUUUUGCUAAGGGGUGUUUUGAAUGCAGAGUAAAUACUUAGAGCAUAUCCAAGAGGCACUUUAUUUUUGUCUCUCUGUUUAACUCUCUAUUUAAUUUUUCAUAAUGAUUACACUCUAUA